GACGAACGCUGGCGGCGCGCCUAACACAUGCAAGUCGAACGAGCGAGAGAGAGCUUGCUUUCUCGAGCGAGUGGCGAACGGGUGAGUAACGCGUGAGGAACCUGCCUCAAAGAGGAGGACAACAGUUGGAAACGACUGCUAAUACCGCAUAAGCCCACGGCUCGGCAUCAAGCAGGGGGAAAAGGAGCAAUCCGCUUUGAGAUGGCCUCGCGUCCGAUUAGCUAGUUGGUGGGGUAACGGCCCACCAAGGCGACGAUCGGUAGCCGGACUGAGAGGUUGAACGGCCACAUUGGGACUGAGACACGGCCCAGACUCCUACGGGAGGCAGCAGUGGGGAAUAUUGCACAAUGGGGGAAACCCUGAUGCAGCGACGCCGCGUGGAGGAAGAAGGUCUUCGGAUUGUAAACUCCUGUUGUUGGGGAAGAUAAUGACGGUACCCAACAAGGAAGUGACGGCUAACUACGUG
rnacentral:rRNA from 1 species